rnacentral:rRNA from 1 species
UCCGGUUGAACCUGCCGGACCCCACUGCUAUCGGGGUGGGACUAAGACAUGCUAGUCGUGCGCCUCCAAGCCACGGUGGAGGCGCGGCGCACAGCUCAGUAACACGUGGCUAACCUACCCUUGGGACAGGGACAACCCCGGGAAACUGGGGCUAGUCCCCGAUAGGUGAGGACUCCUGGAAUGGGUCCUCGCUGAAAGGGCGUCUAGACCAUGCUUCUAGACGCUGCCCAAGGAUGGGGCCGCGGCCGAUCAGGUUGUUGGUGAGGUAACGGCUCACCAAGCCUAAGACCGGUACGGGCCGUGAGAGCGGGAGCCCGGAGAUGGACACUGAGACAAGGGUCCAGGCCCUACGGGGCGCAGCAGUCGCGAAACCUCCGCAAUACGCGAAAGCGUGACGGGGCCACCCCGAGUGCCGUCCGCUGAGGACGGCUCUUCCCCAGUGUAGACAGCUGGGGGAAUAAGGGGAGGGCAAGUCGGGCGUCAGCCGCCGCGGUAAUACCCGCUCCCCGAGUGGUGGGGACGCUUAUUGGGCCUAAAGCAUCCGUAGCCGGCUGGACAAGUCCCCUGUUAAAUCCAGCGAUUUAAUCGCUGGACUGCGGGGGAUACUGUCCAGCUAGGGGGCGGGAGAGGCCGGCGGUAUUCCCGGGGUAGGGGUGAAAUCUUAUAAUCCCGGGAGGACCACCAGUGGCGAAGGCUGCCGGCUGGAACGCGCCCGACGGUGAGGGAUGAAAGCUGGGGGAGCGAACCGGAUUAGAUACCCGGGUAGUCCCAGCUGUAAACGAUGCGGGCUAGGUGUUGGCACGGCUACAAGCCGUGUCAGUGCCGCAGGGAAGCCGUUAAGCCCGCCGCCUGGGGAGUACGGCCGCAAGGCUGAAACUUAAAGGAAUUGGCGGGGGAGCACCACAAGGGGUGAAGCUUGCGGUUUAAUUGGAGUCAACGCCGGA